rnacentral:misc_RNA from 1 species
AAGAUGGCCCCUGCUCUUCGCAAGUAAGCCUCAUGAUUCUCUCCUAGAUUUUGGGUUCUUUGGUUUUUACUACAUGCUGUUUUAGUUUGUUAUUGUUUUUGGCUUUCUCUGAGGUUUUAGGGUUCUGUGACUGAUUUAGGUGGUCUCGGAUCUCUUAAGGAAUUCUAAUAUAUUCUUGUGCAUUCUGAUUAUUUUGGUAAUUGGGCUAAUGUUAAGUAUUUGAUUCAAUAACCUUCUUUUGCCUAAUUUUGGUAAUGUCUAAAAUUCAAAUGGUUCUAGAGGCAGAAAUUUGUUGGAACAUUUUUUGUGUUUUGAUUGCAUUUUAUAUAAAUUGUUGAUACAAUAUUACUUGCAAGUACCUUGGUUGUUGCUGCUUGUAAAUUUUUUCCCUAAUUAGAUGGAGGAAAGGAACGAGCGGUGAAAAUGGGGGUGUUACAGGAAGUGGAUGUUCCAUGGGUACUAGUUCUUACUUCUUUCUUUAUGGGUAACAGAAAAGCAAGAAUAAUAAUACACUAGUUUGAACACUAUUUACUGAUUUAGUGUUGAAGUCCAUUUUAAAAUUUUUAAUCUGAUACUAGUUGAGGCUUAAAUGAGCAAAGAUGAAAUUAAUUAAUUGUAAUAAGUGCACAAGUGAGAAUCAAUUCCCUCACAGAAUUGUAUUCUACAUUGGUUAGCUUGUUUUGAUUCCUGCCUAGUUUGAAUGAUGCAGCAAAAAGUGCUUUUAUUUGGUAUCAAGGGUAAAAAAUUUGGAUAUUUGAGUUUAAGAGUUGGUUGUGCUAAAACUGUGCUAAGCUGUGCUUGAGUUUAGCUAACCAGAUACUUCUGGCCUGAUUAUGCUGUGCCCAAGCUCACUCCAAGCUUAGGGAGUUUUCCAAUAUGCCUAAUUGAACGUUGGCCUCUUAAUUUGAAAUUACUAUAAAUGUAAAAUAGUGUUAUUGGAUUUGAAGUUGUGUGAUUGUGGAAUUGAUUAACCCAAGGUUCAUAAGGGUUUUGUGUCUUCCAUAGUCAUAUAGCCUGUAACAUAUGGUUCAAUUUAACUUCUUUAGCACAGUGCAUUGAAAUCAUCUGGAGCUACUUAAAAAGCUUGAAUUGAAUUUUGGUUAUGACUAAACGCAGAUUAAUUUGACUGAUACAUAGCUUUUUUUUUUUUGGAGAGUUUUUAAAGCAGCACAAAUGAAAAUUUACCAAGGUUAGGACUGGGUUUGUUUGGGGGGCGAAGAGGGUAAGGGUUAGGCUGGAGUAGUAUUCAAAGAAACAUGUAUCCAUUCGUUUGCUGUCAUAUGCAUUAUUUUUAUAUUUUGGAAAUUUGCAGACAUUCCAAAUAUUAAAUGCUGGUAAAUCCACUUUUGGUCUGCAAUAUUCUCCAUAACAAAUGCCAAUUUAUAAGCAUUUUGGGUUGUUACUGAUGUUCAUAUUGUUUUUUCUGGUAUAAACUGUUCGAUUUUUUCAUUUUUAUGUUUUGGCGAUUGGAAACAGCUCUAAAAAAUAGAGCUGAAACAAACUGCAGUCUGCAGCUUAUCAUAUCAGUUACCCAUCAGCUAUCAACCUUAUUUUUUUAAACUUACCAAAUACUCUAAUCUAAUUUACCUGUUUGGUUGUCUAUCAGCUAUCAGCUGCACCGAACAGGUAAACCAAACACCCCCUAUUAAACUCGAGCACUAUGUCAUUGAAAAAAAGAAAAAAAACCAUUAAUUAGGCUUAUUAACUUGGAGCAUUUUGUUUGUUUGGGAGAGGUUUUAUUAAAAUAAUGGAAGGUUUUCAACUUGUGUUUGGAAAAACAGAAGGUUUUUAAAAUAAGGAAACCUCCAAAAACCUCCAUCCUCUGAGUUCUUCUCUUUAACACCUUAACCCUUUAUUUGGAUUGAGGAAAAUGCAAAGAAAAUAAUAGAAAAGAUUUCUCUUAAAUUCCCUUAAGAAUUGAAGAAAGAGGAAGAGAAUGGAGGAAGGAGGGAAAUAAUUGUUAAAAUACUUAAAUAUUAUCAUACAGAAAAAAUAGAAAGAAAUUAAGGGUAUAAUAAUUAUUUCACUCUAUUGUUUUAAGUUAUCCCAUUGUAACCAUCCUCCAUUUCCUUUCUUUAAUUUCUUUCCUUUCUACUGCCAAAUUAAAGAUCUAAACAAAAGGUAAAACUUCCAAAUGCCUUAUAAAACUUCAUCUUCCUUCCAAACACACAAAAUUAAAAAGGUUAAAAAAAAUGAAAACUUUACUUUAAAAAACUUUUCUUUAGAAAUUAUAAAAGGAAAACUGAACUCAAACCUGCUUGUUUAUCAGAAGCAUCAAGAUACUCCUGCUCCUCCGCCUCCACCACAGGCGGCAGCAUCUCCCCCUCCUUCUCUCCUUUCUUAACACCGCCACCUGGCCCCUCAGCAGCAACACCGUCCUUCUCAUCAGGGAACCUCACAACAAUCACAGGACAAACACAGUGAUGCACGCAGUAAUCACUCACACUGCCUAGCCCCCCUUUGGUAUUCUUCCUGGAAGCCCCAAAUCCUCUGCUACCCAUGAUAACUGCGCAAAGCCUCAACCUUUCCACCUCCAAGCAAAGUCUCUCCUUCAUAUCAUGAUCCUUCACUAUAUGAAUCUUGAACGGAAUCUGCGCCUCAACGAGCGGUUGGGCCAGAUCGUUGGCCUUAGUGGAGGUGAAAAGAUCGAAAUCGUCCUCGAGCUUUUUCUGGGACUGUUCCGUUUGGUUCUCAGAAUCAUGUUCAGUAAUGGAUAGCUCAAUUGCGCCCCAAUCGGCACCGUAUAGUACACUUGUAGGCCGGACAUGAACAAGGAUAACGGCAUCGCCCUGGCGGAGGUAGUUUUGGACAGCCCAAUUGACGGCGUAAGCGCUCUCAUCGCUGAGAUCGACGGCGAUGCCGAUUCUCCGCUGGGCACCAGAUGUCCGGGUACUAACAGGGAAUCGUGGAGACGAUGGUUGGACUACCACUGCUUCAGCUGCUGGGCUUUCCUUCUUUGGGGAAGGCGAAGUCAUGGCUUCAAGUAAAUUA